rnacentral:lncRNA from 1 species
AUGGAUACUAUUCUUAGAAAAUUCCGAAAAUCUAGCAGAAACAAAAAAAAAAAUUUAUCAGAAAUAGAUGCAAUUGAUGAACGUAUUUGGGCUCAAGCAAAAACGAUAGAUUUAGAAGAAGAAUUCAGAUACACAUCGAAUAACAAAACAUCUAAAAAUUAUACGGAAAAUGAAAAGCGAUCAAGCAGCAUAGAAGAUGCAUAUGCAAUAGAUGACGUAUUAGGAAAAGUGAAUAAUACAAAAAACGACAAAUAUUAUUUAAACUCUUUUUUACGAAUGAAUGAUGACAUAACUAAUAACAAUACAGAUUUUAAUAAUUAUUACUUAAGUAAAAAAAAAAAAAAUGUACCUAAUUAUAGUAAUUAUAAAACAGAACAUACUGAAAAAUAUAUAGAAAAAGGUUUUGAUAAAUAUGCAUGUGAAACAAAAGAUUAUUAUGAAAAUGAUGACGAGGAAAAUUUUUAUGAAGAAUCAAUCAUGAACGGAGUUAAAAUGGAAGUAUUUAAUGAUAAUAUAUACAAUAAAAAAAAUAAUAAAAAAGAGGAAUACAAUUAUAUUGAUAAUGAAGAAGAAGAAGAAGAGUUAGAUGUAGGAGAAAACACAGAAUUAGAAUCAGACUUAGAGACAGGAAUAAAUAUAGAAAUAAAUCAAGGAGUAGACACUGAUUUAGAUACAGAAAUAAGUACACAAGAUGAAGAUAUAGUAGAUGAAGAUGAUGAAAAAGAAGAGGGAGGAGACGUAGAAGCAGCAACAGAAGAAGAGAUAGAAACUGACGAAGAAGAAGUAGAAACUGAAGAAGAGGUAGAAACUGAAGAAGAAAUGGAAACUGAAGAAGCAAAAACAAAUGAGCAAGAGCAGUUGCAAUACGGAGUGAAGGACUCAAAUAACAAUGAUGUACAUAACGAAAUUAAGGACGAAAGUUCAAGUGAGAAUAAAGUGAAAGAUAUAGAAGGUGAUGCAACAGAAGAAAAUGUAGAAUAUUUAGAAGAAAAACUUGAAAUAUAUAAUACAGAGCAAAUAGAUGAAGAAGUAGAAAUUGCACAAGUAAAAGGCAAAGGUAGAUGUAUGUUUACAAAAAAAAAUUUAGAUCCUGGUUCUGUUAUAUUUAUUGAAAAACCUUUAUUAAUUAUAACUCCAAAACUAAAUGAAAAAUUAUGGGACUUUUUAAAUAAGUUAAAUGAUGAACAAAAUUUUGAAUUACCUCUUAAAUGGCAUUAUGCUGCACUAUGUACUUUUGAAACACUUAACGAUGAUGAUUUUAAAGCUUGUAUUGAUAAAUGGACACCUGAACCUGACAAAGAAGCAGAUCAAGAUGUUUUUAAUGUUUUAGAUAAAGUGUGCAAAAAAAAAGUAACAAAAAACCAUAGAACAUAUUACUAUUACAAAAAAAAAUUGAUAGAUCCUAAAAUAUAUAAUCGAGUCAUACAAAUAUGGCACUAUAAUGCUUUUGGUCACCACACAGACAGUGAAGGAUUAGUUCUAUAUAAUCGUAAACAUAAAAAAAAAAAAAAAAAAA